CAGCACCUCAAGUGGUCAGGAUGAUUAUUGGGCCUAAAGCAUCCGUAGCCGGCGCUGUAAGUUUUCGGUUAAAUCUGUACGCUCAACGUACAGGCUGCCGGGAAUACUGCAGCGCUAGGGAGUGGGAGAGGUAGACGGUACUCGGUAGGAAGGGGUAAAAUCCUUUGAUCUAUUGAUGACCACCUGUGGCGAAGGCGGUCUACCAGAACACGUCCGACGGUGAGGGAUGAAAGCUGGGGGAGCAAACCGGAUUAGAUACCCGAGUAGUCCC
rnacentral:rRNA from 1 species